CUGAAGUUCUCACAGAGAGAGGAUCAGUGCAGAUUCACUGUCACGUUCCAGACAAUGUUAAAGUGCGUCAGUGUUAUUUCUACCCAGAGAGAGACAACACAAAUCUAAAACUCUCUCCAUCAUGUCAGCUCUCAGUCACUGGUUCUGAACUGAUCUGGUGGACAGGACGAAGUUCUCCUGGAACACUUCAUAUUACUUGUUUCUACGCUUUGGAUAACUCUGUUCGUACUCCUUCUCCUCACUCUCUCCCAGCUCCAGUCACAGUGCUGAAUCAGAAACCGAGACUAAGCGUCAGUCAUGAUGGUCAGUUUGAUGAAUUGAGAUUUGUGUGUGAAAUAUCAGGGUCAGAGUCAGUAACUGCUGAUUUUAGCUGUAAUCUCUACACUGGAG
ensembl:lncRNA